GAUGAACGCUGGCGGCGUGCCUAAUACAUGCAAGUCGAGCGAACGGACGAGAAGUUUGCUUCUCUGAUGUUAGCGGCGGACGGGUGAGUAACACGUGGAUAACCUACCUAUAAGACUGGGAUAACUUCGGGAAACCGGAGCUAAUACCGGAUGAUAUUUUGAACCGCAUGGUUCAAAAGUGAAAGACGGUCUUGCUGUCACUUAUAGAUGGAUCCGCGCUGCAUUAGCUAGUUGGUAAGGUAACGGCUUACCAAGGCAACGAUGCAAAGCCGACCUGAGAGGGUGAUCGGCCACACUGGCACUGAGACACGGUCCAGACUCCUACGGGAGGCAGCAGUAGGGAAUCUUCCGCAAUGGGCGAGAGCCUGACGGAGCGACGUCGCGUGAGUGAUGAAGGUCUUAGGAUCGUAAAACUCUGUUAUUAGGAAGGAACAUAUGUGUAAGUAACUGUGCACAUCUUGACGGUACCUAAUCAGAAAGCCACGGCUAACUACGUG
rnacentral:rRNA from 1 species